GACAGAGGUGCCGAGCGUUAGGCGGAAUCACUGGGCUUAAAGCGUGUGUAGGCGGAUCGUUAAGUACCUUGUGAAAUCCCACGGCUCAACCGUGGAACUGCUGGGUAUACUGGCGGUCUUGAGCCACCUAGGGGCGAGCGGAACAAGCGGUGGAGCGGUGAAAUGCGUAGAUAUCGCUUGGAACGCCAACGGUGAAAACAGCUCGCUGGGGGUGUGCUGACGCUGAGACACGAAAGCCGGGGGAGCGAACGGG
rnacentral:rRNA from 1 species